rnacentral:lncRNA from 1 species
AAAGCUAAGGAAAAUCCAAUUUUACAGAAGAAUAAAAAGAAAAAUCAUUUCAAAUAAUUAUUAUUACAUUAUAAAGGUGUAAAAUUUAAUUAUACAUGGUUAUAUAUAAUAUAUGUAAAACACAUUGAAUUCAAGAAGCAUAUUUGUCACACACACACAUGUAUAGUAUAUAAAUUUGCAAAACCUGUGUUCUAAUUUUCUUUUUCUUGAUUUUGGCAUAGUAUACAUUAUAUAUGUACACACACAUAUACAUAUGAUCUAAAAUAUUAGUUACUGUAUUCCACUAAUGAACACAAGAAUUUAUUGUUUCUACUCUGUUUAAAUGAAUAGUUAUAAGGGCUGGAAAGAAUAGUAGCCAGUAAAUGCCAGGCUGACAAUCAAAACAUCAAGUAGAAGACAGUCACCUAGAUUUUAUCAUGUUUUAUUUGAUGCUUGAUUGUGACUUCAUUCUCUCCACCAUAUAUAUAUAUAUAUAUAUAUAUAUAUAUAUAUAUAUAUAUAUAUAUAUAUGGGGUGUGUGUAUACAUACAUAUAUUUGCAUAUCUGCCUUAUGCAUGUAUAUUUCAUAAAUAUUAUGUGACAACCAGAAUAUUCAAGUUAAACUUGUCAAAAUGUAUGUUACAUCAAAAAUACAUCAUAAAAUAUUAUAUGACAAAAAAGUCAAUAAACCAAUUACAAAAAUCACAGAUGAAAUUAUGUUGUGUUUAUUUAAUUAUUUGUUAAACCAAAGAAUUAUAAAUGAGUAAAUUUUUGUCUGCUAGCCCAAGAAGUUGACAGAAUUUCCUAAUGAACUUUUGAGAUUUUCUUUUAAACAUAUGGGAAGGAGUAAAUUAUCACUAGUUAUGUAUUUGAACACCUUACAUAGAAACUACACACACAUUAUAUGUCAUGCAUUCAAUUGUAUAAGUUAACAGAUAUUUAUGUAUUAUAGAAUGAUUAUUUUACCAUUCUCACUGAUCUGUAAAUAAAAGAAAAAAAGAACAUUGAAAUGACAAAGGUUAAAAUACCUAAUAGUUACUGCUAAGUGAAGUUAAACAAUUAUGUCCACUCUAUUUUUUUAAUCCUCAGAAAUUCUGUUUUCUUUGCACUACCUUGGGCCCUUUCUGUUCUGUUUUGUUCUAUAUUGAUGUGUUAUUUUUGGUUUAUCAUAUCAUAUCAUAUCAUAUCAUAUCAUAUCAUAACAUAUAAUCCUUUUAAAAAUUUUUGUUAUUUUCUUUUUCCUCAUUAAUUCACUUAACAUUCACAUUAUUCACUUUAUAUUAUCAUUGCAACCCCCUCUUCCUGGUUCUCUUCUCACACAGUUCCUUUCCCCCAAAAUUUCACCUUCCCCUCUCCUCUGAGAAGGUAGAGGUUCCAUGGGUGUUUGCCCCAACCUUGCCACAUGAAGUCUCUGCAGGGAUAAGCAUGUCUUCUCCCACUGAGGUCAGUCAAGGCAGCAGUCAGGCAACAGAAUUAGGGAUGGCCCCUGCUCCAGUUAUUGGGUAACCAGCAUGGAGACCAAGUGGCUCAUGUGUUACAUGUGAUAGGAGCCAAGGUCUAGGUCCAUGUUUGCUUUUUAGUUGGUGCUUCAGUGUUUGAGAGAUGCUGAAAGUUCAGGUUAGCUGACUUUGUUGGUAUUCCUGUGGUGUUUCUAUCCCCUUCAGGUCCCUCAAUCCUUUCCUCAACUCUUUCAUAAUAUUCCCAAAGCUCAGCCCAGUGUGUGGCAGUGGGACUCUGCAUUUGUUUCUUUCAACUGCUGGGUGGAGCAUCUCAGAGGACAGUUAUACAAGAAGAUCCUGUCUGUAAGCAUAACAAAGUAUCAGUGAUUGGUGCUUGCCCACAGGAUGUGUCUCACAUUGGACCAGUUAUUGGUUGUCCCAUCCCUCAGUCUUGGCUCCAUCUUUGUCCCUGAAUUUCUUGUGAACAGGACAAAAUUUGGGCUGAAAGUUUUGUUAGUGGGAUGGUGUCCUUAUCCCUCCCCUGGAGUCCUGCCUGACUAUAGGUAGUGGCCACUUCAGAGUUUAUAUCCUCACUGCUAGGAGUUUCAAUUAAAGUAAACUCAUAGAUUUCUGUGAUCCUCCUCCAUCCCAGGUAUCUGGCACACCCUAAAAAUGCUCCCAUAUACCCUAACUCUUCCAGUUGCUGAUUCCCAUUCAUUCUCCUGGCCCUCUUGCCCUCUCCCCACACUUGAUCCUAAACCCCAUUCCUUUUCCCUUCCUAUCCCCUCUCCCACAUAGUUCCCUCCCUUCAUCUCACUCCUAUGUCUGUUUUAUUAUGCUUUCUAAAUGGGAUUCAAACAUCCUUGAUUGGGCUUUCCAAAUUUUUAACUUCUUCAGGUCAGUGGAUUGUAUCAUGGAUACCCUGUACUUUAUGGUUAAUAUCUACUUAUAAGUGAGUAUAUACUAUGUACAUCCUUAUGUGUCUCAGUUACCUUAAUCAGGAUAUUUUAUAUUUCCAUCCAUUUGCCUGAAAAAAAAAAAAAAACUCAUGAUGCCUUUAGCUGAUUUAAACAGCUGAGUAGUAAAACACAUUUUCUCUAUCCAAUCUUUGCUUGUGGAUGGUUUCAGGUUCUGGUUUUUGUUGUUGUUGUUUUUCUAAUGGAAGACAAAGAGAAAGAAGGUGGACCCUGCUAUGAGAGGAGCUGGAGAGGAAGUGGAAUGUGUAGAGAGAAUGGAAAGAGUAAUCAGGAUUUAUUGUGCUCAAGAAGAAAUCUAUUUUU